rnacentral:sRNA from 1 species
GCGUCGGACGUCUCCUCCCAUUGCGUCCGGCGCGUUCCCCUCUGGAGGUUACAGACCUUCACGCUUGGCCGGGCUUAACAGUCCGGCCUUU